UGCAUGCUUACUAUAGAUUAUCCUAUACAUUUCCUUUAUUAACACAAAUGGCAAUUCUAUAAUCUGUUAGGCAUUACAUCUCUGUUUUGCGCAGGAAACUUCAGAAAUUAGGCUUUUCUUUGUAAAUGUCUUCACGACACUGGGUUGGCUUCUGUUCCGGUGGUCACAGAAUACUCAUGGGAUUUCAUUUGAAUGUUUAUUCUUCAGAUUAUGCUGAACUAAAUAUGAGCUCAGUGUGGUGUUUGGUUUGAAUGGUGAAUUUUGUGCGGUGUUUCUGCAGGAGUUUUUUAAUCUAAAGCAAGGGUGAGCGCCAAGGAAGGAGGCGCCGCCACGGGCGACGGUGGCGGGGUUGGCCGCUGGCGGCUGCAAUAUUUAAUCAUUGUUGUCAACAUUGGCACACAGGAUUUAGUGGAAGGAAGGUUUUGGGCCAUCAGAUUUCCCUGAGAAUCAAGGGAAAGGAAGAGGAAAGGAAAAUGUUGAUACAUGCUCUGUUGCAAGUGUUUAUGUCGCGCAGAAACUACAAUGAAGUUGUUGGGGAGAAGAUCCAGUGAACUCGGCUACAUCGGGUUGGGUCAAAGUUACUGGU